GUGGGGAAUUUUACGCAAUGGGGGAAACCCUGACGUAGCGACACCGCGUGAGCGAAGAAGCCCCUUGGGGUGUAAAGCUCUGUCAGCUGGAACGAAAAAAAUGACGGUACCAGCAGAGGAAGCAUCGGCUAACUACGUGCCAGCAGCCGCGGUAAGACGUAGGAUGCGAGCGUUGUCCGGAUUUAUUGGGCGUAAAGAGUUCGUAGGUGGUUUGUCAAGUCUGAUGUUAAAGAUCGGGGCUCAACCCUGGGACUGCAUUGGAUACUGGCAGACUUGAGUGUGGUAGAGGCUAGUGGAAUUCCCAGUGUAGCGGUGAAAUGCGUAGAUAUUGGGAAGAACACCGGUGGCGUAGGCGACUAGCUGGGCCAUAACUGACACUGAGGAACGAAAGCCAGGGUAGCGAAUGGGAUUAGAAACCCCAGUAGUCC
rnacentral:rRNA from 1 species